rnacentral:rRNA from 2 species
CUGGUGUCAGCCGCCGCGGUAAUACCAGCACCCCGAGUGGUCGGGACGAUUAUUGGGCCUAAAGCAUCCGUAGCCGGCCUUACAAGUCCUCCGUUAAAUCCAGCUGCUUAACAGAUGGGCUGCGGAGGAUACUAUAAGACUAGGAGGCAGGAGAGGCAAGCGGUACUCAGUGGGUAGGGGUAAAAUCCGUUGAUCCAUUGAAGACCACCAGUGGCGAAGGCGGCUUGCCAGAAUGCGCUCGACGGUGAGGGAUGAAAGCUUGGGGAGCAAACCGGAUUAGAUACCCGGGUAGUCCCAGCUGUAAACGAUGCAGACUCGGUGAUGGACUAGCUUUAUGCUGGUCCAGUGCCGCAGGGAAGCCGUUAAGUCUGCCGCCUGGGUAGUACGGUCGCAAGACUGAAACUUAAAG